CCGUAGCCCAAGAGAUCGGGAUAACACCUGGAAACAGAUGCUAAUACCGGAUAACAACAGAUGAUGCCUAUCAACUGUUUAAAAGAUGGUUCUGCUAUCACUCUUGGAUGGACCUGCGGUGCAUUAGCUAGUUGGUAGGGUAACGGCCUGCCAAGGCGAUGAUGCAUAGCCGAGUUGAGAGACUGAUCGGCCACAUUGGGACUGAGACACGGCCCAAACUCCUACGGGAGGCAGCAGGC
rnacentral:rRNA from 1 species